rnacentral:tRNA from 1 species
GGACAGAUGGGUGAGUGGUUUAAACCAGCGGUUUACUAAACCGCCGUCCCCUUAAAAGGACCGUGAGUUCGAAUCUCACUCUGUCCGCCA